AGGUUACGUUGCAGCACGUGCUGACUCUUUACGCCCCUCAGAGGGUCCGUGGUACCAUGAUUUGGGCGAUCCCUCGUGGGACAAUGGGUUUGACUGUCGAACUAGAUGACGAGGUCGACUCUCGCCCUUAUGAGCAUUUCUUCUACAUCAGGACUGAUCAUUUGGUGGCGUGCACUACUGAAUUCCUAGACUUGGAACCAUGCACGUAAGUCUUUCACUUGUUAAAUUCAGCUUUUGGCCCCUCCUUACAUCCUGCUAUUAUGAGUGUCAAUUUUUCUCAUGUUCAUAGCUAAAAUGUUGCCGCU
rnacentral:lncRNA from 1 species